rnacentral:misc_RNA from 1 species
AUGCAUGUGCAAAGCACUCCCCAUCGCAUCUUCACUCCGAGUCCACGCCACACUUCCAUUGUUGCAGAGUCUCCCUUAUUGGCGCGUGUGUGCCUGUGAUUCGGUCGUCUGUUGUACGAGCACCUUGUGCUAAGCUAUCGGGUCUCAUUAGAGAGACAUCGACGGACAACAGCGCAAUCAAGGCAAAGAGCGACAUCGCACAAGACAACGCUGGUCUUCCACCUCCUGAUUCCAGCAUCCGGGCACCGCACACCGAUAUACUCACACAAGCACAAUCAAUCGCAUGCAGGUCUGCCUUUUCCGAUACUCACUGCUAUUCACUCACGCCCCUUAGCCCAUACGGCUGUUUCCAGCUUUGCUGAUACGCUUGCGCAGUGCACCAGAUCCUGUCAGUGCCUUCUUUUUCGUUUCUAUCCUUUUUUUAUCGACGCGCACGCAACCAUGCAGCCGAGUAGCGACAACGGGGCGAGCACCGGCGCCAACGUCGUGGUGGAGGGCAAGUACACGAUUCAGGAUGCGAACAUCGUAGGCCGUGGCGCGUACAGUGUGGUAAAGGUAUGCACACCGAUUCACCCUUACGUCCCACCAGGGUCGAGGCCUGGAAUGAAGUACGUGGUGAAGAUUAUCGAAAAGGAGUAUCUCAUCUCGCUUGCCAAGGGCGACGUCGAUAUGGCCAUGGCGGAGAUCAAGCGAGAGAUCGACGUGCUGCGGCACAUUCCAUCGCACGAGAACGUGGUCACGUUUCUCGAGUACGUAGAGACGGAGAAGCAGUUUCUGCUCUUCUUCGAGAAGGUUCAAUGCGGCGACCUGUGUGAACUCAUUCUGCAGUCCUCCAGCGGCAAGCUGACGGAGGAGAAAUCAAAGCUGUACACGUACCAGAUCAUCAAGGCGGUGCUGCAUUGCCAUCUGCACGACAUCAUCCACCGCGACAUCAAGCCCGAGAACUUGCUGGUGAGCGAGGACGACAACAUUAAACUGACGGAUUUCGGUCUAGCAAAGCGCUCGCGCGGGGUGUGCACCGGCGACUCCCCGAGGGACCCGCUUGACGUGACGGCGUUGAUGAUGCCGUACCCCGGCUGCGAGCGUCUCUUGGGCAAGCGGGUUGUUUGCUCGGAUGUCAUCGGCACGCCCCGCUACGGCGCCCCGGAGAUGUUCUACGCUAAGUUCACGCAGACCCACUACGACGGCUUCAACGCCGACACGUGGUCCAUCGGCGUCGUCACGUAUAUUACGCUCUCCGGUAGCUUCCCCUACUCGCCGGGGUCGAACGCGUCAGAGAAGGAGGUGUUUCGCACGAUCAUGUCCACCCCGUUGCCGAAGCCGUCCGGCAUCUCGCCGCUGGCUUGGGAGUUUGUGCAGUCGAUGCUGAACAAGGACCCGAGUAAGCGCACCCCCCUGUAUGCCGCGCUCAAUCAUCCGUGGCUGGCUGACGUGGUGGUGCAGCGCGGCUCCGUCGUGGCGGCGCAGCUGCGGGCGAGCGUCAUUUCGGCCGACGUCGAGUCUGCUGCCGCCCGCUUCGACGAGGAGGCGCGCCGCCUGCGCAUAUGCAUGGCCAAGCUGCAGAGCGAAGUGGCUGCGCUCAGAGAGGAGCGCGACCGGGUGCGCGAGGUGCAGCAACCCGCCUUACAAGAGACCCACACACAGGCCCGUCGUGCGCAGACGCCGAGUGGGCUUUCGCGGCCGCGCAGCACACGCUAUCCUGCGUCGACGAUUCGCGUCUCCUCUCCCGCGCGCGUUACUAAUCACCGCCGCACAGGCAGCCGUGACAGCAGCAGCGCUGGAUCCGUUCCUCGUCGCGCCUCUGCGCCGCGCGGGAGGAGCCCACUUGCGCGCAGCGCAGGCGGCGCCGCGGUGCGUCGUGGCACCCCUGCAAGAGCCGGCGGCACCACCCCCGCCCGCAGCGCAACGCCGUCUCGGACCACUGGCGCUCGCUCGGGCUCUGCGGCGCGAGCUAUGAUUUCCACUCGAGGCGCCACGCCGACACGCUCCGCCACACCGGGCCGCAGCGCCCACGAUCGGUCGCGCACUCCACACCGCAGCGCCAUAUCUGGCACCUCCAACGGCACCACUUCCGGCGUGUCGCACUCCACCAACGCCGUGAAUCCCGCCAAUGAACUGCACCUUGGCGACCAGGUCACGUACAAGGGCUGCCGCGCUAUUGUGCGGUUCAACGGUUCAACCGCGUUCGGUGCCGGCAUCUGGAUCGGGCUGGAGAUGUUAGAGGGCAACGAGGGCACCAACGACGGCUCCUCGUUCAUUGACAAGAAGCAGUACUUUACGUGCCCCAAGGGCAAGGGCGUGUUUGUGCGCGCCUCCCAGGUGAAGAAGCUGGGCUGAGGCGUGGGUGCAUGUGUCGGGGGGCGAGUGCAGGUGAAGAUGUGGGAUCGCGGUCCUGACAAUUCACAUUUCUCUCCCCUUCUCUUACGCUCCUCUCCGCCUCGGCUGCUGCCCUCCCCCGUUUCUCCGUCUCUUCACUCUGUGCGGCGUUCUCGCUUCUUUGCCGACCGUUUGCAGUUGACGUUCGAGCACGCGUUGCAUUCACGCACUUCACUACAGUAUAUGUUGUCGUACUCUUAUCAUCAUCUCUUCCUUCUGGCUUUGUAUCUGUGACUCCUUCCUUCUUAGAGGUCUUCCCCGUUUUUUGUGUUCUGUUUCCUCCUCCCCUUUUUCAUGUCUCUCCGGUGCCUCUCAGUGAAGCCACUACACACCCUUUCUCACUGUCUCCUUUCCGUCUUCCCUCGUCGUUGCUUCCCUGAUCGAUGCUGUAUGUCUGCCCGUCUCCGUUUGUUUGUGAUGACUUUCUUCCUUCUCUGUGUUUGUCUGCACGCAUAUGGGUGUGCGUGAGUGUACUAGAUGACUGCGUAACGCGUGCGUAUGUACGUUUUCCGUAGGACACAAGAAACGAAAGAAAAGAGACCGCGAAACGAAUGCGCGAAUUGAUCGCGCGAGUUGGAUCGGGAGAGGGGGGAGGUGGCAUCGCAUGUGUCUCGCCCAACUGCUCCACUGCCUUUGCUUACCCUUGUUCUCUGGGCCCCUGAUGGUUGUGUGUCAUGACGAGAGCCAUAGAGGCGGCUUCUGUGCCGCACGGCUCUCAUGCGAAUCUCCGUCGUAUGUCUCUUGGCAGUCGCAUGAUGGCCCGUCUCUCUGGAUGCACGUGUGGGUACGGCGCGGCAUCCCUCCGCGCGAGGGCGAGCGAAAGAGGGAUUUGCGAGUGUGCGUGUUGCGGCAAGUGCCCCACAGUGUUGCUGCUUCUCUUUCCUCUGAUCUGGUGAUAGGGCGGCUUCUUUACCCCCCCCCCCCCUCCCUCGUCCUCAACGUGUUCCACUGCUUCGCUCUUCUUUAUCGAUCCAUAUCUCACUUGGUCGCUGGCGCAUCGCCCACAUGCGCACGCGACAAUGGAAACGAAG